GUGCCAGCAGCCGCGGUAAUACGGAGGGUGCAAGCGUUAAUCGGAAUUACUGGGCGUAAAGCGCACGCAGGCGGUUUGUUAAGUCAGAUGUGAAAUCCCCGGGCUCAACCUGGGAACUGCAUCUGAUACUGGCAAGCUUGAGUCUCGUAGAGGGGGGUAGAAUUCCAGGUGUAGCGGUGAAAUGCGUGGAGAUCAGGAGGUUUUCCGGUGGCGGCGGCGGCCCCCUGGAGGAAGACUGACCGUUCAGGUGGGAAAGGGGUGGGGACCAACCAGGAUUUAGAUACCUGGGUAGUCC
rnacentral:rRNA from 1 species